rnacentral:rRNA from 1 species
AGAGUUUGAUCAUGGCUCAGAAUGAACGUUGGCGGCGUGGAUUAGGCAUGCAAGUCGUACGGGCCUGGCCUUCGGGCCGGGUCAGUGGCGCAAGGGUGAGUAAGGCGACGGUAACCAACCCCGGGGCUGGCCAUAGCCGCGGGAAACCGCGGGUAAUCGCCAGCGACGUCGGAACCCGGCAUCGGGCGCCGACCAAAGGUGUGAUUCCGCCCCGAGACGGGCCGUCGUGGUAUUAGCUAGUUGGUGGGGUAUCGGCCCACCAAGGCUAUGAUGCCUACCGGGCGUGCGAGCGUGGCCCGGCACACUGGGACUGAGACACUGCCCAGACUCCUACGGGAGGCUGCAGUCGAGAAUCUUCGGCAAUGGGCGCAAGCCUGACCGAGCGACGCCGCGUGGAGGACGAAGGCCUUCGGGUUGUAAACUCCUAUCGAGGGGAACCAAGGGGGUGUGAAGAACAUCCCUUGAGAGAUCCCUGAAGGAAGCACGGGCUAAGUUCGUGCCAGCAGCCGCGGUAAGACGAACCGUGCGAACGUUAUUCGGAAUCAUUGGGCUUAAAGGGCGCGUAGGCGGGUCGGUACGUCGGUCGCUGAAAUCCCCCGGCUUAACCGGGGACGUGGCACCGAUACGGCCGACCUGGAGGCGAGGAGGGGGACCUGGAACGUCCGGUGGAGCGGUGAAAUGCGUUGAGAUCGGACGGAACGCCGACGGCGAAAGCAAGGUCCUGGACUCGUACUGACGCUGAGGCGCGAAAGCCAGGGGAGCGAACGGGAUUAGAUACCCCGGUAAUCCUGGCCGUAAACGAUGGGCACUGGGUGGCGGGGCUCGCCGAUGGGCACGCCACCCGUAGCGAAAGCGUGAAGUGCCCCGCCUGGGGAGUAUGGUCGCAAGGGCUGACACUCAAAGGAAAUUGACG